AACGAACGCUGGCGGCAGGCCUAACACAUGCAAGUCGAGCGAGGACUUCGGUUCUAGCGGCGGACGGGUGAGUAACGCGUGGGAAUGUGCCCUUCUCUACGGAAUAGCCCUGGGAAACUGGGAGUAAUACCGUAUACGCCCUAUUGGGGAAAGAUUUAUCGGAGAAGGAUCAGCCCGCGUUGGAUUAGGUAGUUGGUGGGGUAAUGGCUACCAAGCCGACGAUCCAUAGCUGGUUUGAGAGGAUGAUCAGCCACACUGGAACUGAGACACGGCCCAGACUCCUACGGGAGGCAGCAGUGGGGAAUCUUAGACAAUGGGGGCAACCCUGAUCUAGCCAUGCCGCGUGAGUGAUGAAGGCCUUAGGGUUGUAAAGCUCUUUCAGCUGGGAAGAUAAUGACGGUACCAGCAGAAGAAGCCCCGGCUAACUCCGUG
rnacentral:rRNA from 1 species